AAAUUAUUUCAACAGUUACUUAGUAAGUUUAUAUUUUCGUGGUCCUAUCGUCUUCUUUAAGGCCAACAAGUCGUAUUCACACACACGUACAUAGAUAGAAACCAAAUACCGAAUAAUAUUGACAACAAUUUAACGAUCCUAAUAAUUCGGAAAGUAGAAAGUUUUGAUCACUUAAAAAAUUUAAAAACUUUCAACGUAAUUCCAGACAUAUAUACGAUAAAUUUAUAAACUAUAGUGAUGGUUAUUUAUACAUUUUAAGAGUAAUUCAUCAUUUUACCCAAGGGGCCACGAACAAAAAAUACUUAAUACUGCAUUAACAGCUUUUUCAAUAGAGCAUAAUUUGUUUUUUCAGCAGGUUCCAGAUUAUAAAUUAAAAAUAAAUUAUAGUCAAAAUAAAUUGUAAAUUACCUAAUGGAAAAUUCAAUUAACACACACAUUUUACAAUUUUCAAGCAUCAAUCUGAUUCCAUGUGAUAGCAAUAUGUCAAUAUAUCAUCAACCAGAAAAAUUUUUAACAUUAAAAAAGUUCUGCGUUUUAGCUUUGUAAGUAUAAAUGGUAAAAUAGGUUCUCUUCAUAUUCCAAAUAAUAAAAUAUUAAUAACUUAUUUAUUUUUAUUAUAACUUAAAUUGUAAAUUUUAAAUAAAUAAAAAAAAUUCUUGCUUAUUUGUUGCAUAUUUUCAUGAUUUU